AUAGUGGGUUUUUAAAAGUAGUAAGUUUUUCUGAUAAAGAUUAACAAAAAACUAUUAAUAAUUCUCAUCUCGCGCACACAGACCUGAUUGGACAACACUGGAAUACAUCACAUCCGGUCGGGCGGUCGCAUACGGUCUAGCCGCAGAAGUUCAUAUAUUUUAACGCAUCCGCAGCUCAAAUCGGAUCCGAAUUUUCCGCAUACGCAUAUGAUCGGAACUCCACGCAGCUCCCGCACUACUCUCCAUUCGAAAUGAAUGACUUCCGGUCUGUCGCUUGUCGUUCGUCGGAGAUAGUGGAAAGGCGGCUUAACUGUCAGGCGCGGUCUCUUUAGGAAAACAAUAUGUACUUUUUUUAAUAUGAAAAACCAAUUAGCUGUAUCCAGUGCACGAUCAUGUUAAGUAAUUACAUUUUAAUGAGUUAAAUUCUAUUUUGUUUGCUAGAGUUCAUUCGAUUCGUCUUUUUCAACGAGUGAUUGCUAUUGAAUCAAAGGAGUCGGACCGCGCUGGAGGCGCCAUAAACAUCAUACGAGUGACUCUCUGAUUCGAUUCACUUAACCGUUCAAAUGAGUCAUUUGUUUGUGACUCAAACUGAGCACGCUGUUGUAGCAUUACACCUGCUAAAACAAUUCAAUACGUGCAAUCUGAAUUUAAUAAUAAUAUUUAUUUUGUGGUAACAUGCCGUGUGGGAAGCUCUGACAGAGAAAAACACUAUCGAUACGUAAGAGGGAGCCGUAAAAUGUAAGUGCAUCAUCUUUUGUUCCUGAAUGAAGGCCUAAUCUGUCUGCUGCACUUGAGCAGGUUCAGUUUUUAGAGUGAAUGAAAACUUUUGAAGCAUAGAUAUGCCGUAUGAUGUGAUUAAAAAAUCAUACUUAUUUUACUCUGGUGGGGAUUAUUAUGAGCAAACAAACUUAAAAGUUUAAUCUGAACACUAUAUAACGUUAUAUGCAAUCUGACACUUAUUCAUUUAAUUUUUUUUACAGAAAUUCUGAGCUGCUGCAUGAACAUUCAUCAAACAUAAGGCUGCAAUUUGGAAAAAACUUUCAAGCUAAUGCUGCUGAAAUGGAGGUCAAGGGGACUAUGAAGAGGUGGCUCCAGCUGAAGGGUGGACUUCAGGAGGCAGACACACUCUGUUACAGUAAUUAGCUGAUCCAGUCGGUAUCCAGACCAGAUGGUGGACCUGCACCCAGGAACGACCACAACACAUCCCUGACUGUCAGCGGAGACCAUGACAGAUCUCUGUGAAGACCUCAUUGAUGGCCCCAGCACAGAUCCUCAGCAAAGACUACGAGAACCAGACAAGCCCUCUGCGCAGACCCUUUUUACCAGCUUCACCUGCUGGCGUGAUAUUACUUCAUGCAGAAGAAGUUGGAUGAAAUAUUCUGAAUGAUAUCAAUCCACAAUCUGACUUGUGAUGCAGCCUGGAAUAAUCACACCACGUUCAUUCGUUUGGCCAGAGGAGACUGUUUCCUGACUGAGCCGGGUCUUGUUUGGGUUCCUUGUCACUGUUGCCUUUUGUCUUGCUUGGUUGAAGACACCUAAUAUUCAGCAAUAUUAUUGACUUGUCUGCACUGACACCAUUUGAUAAGAAUUGAACUGAAUUAUGACACACAAUGUUUUAUAUAUGAAGAGUUUAUUUGCAAAAACAGAUAACUCCGUUUUAAAAUAUUUUUAAAAAUCAUGUUUUUUGUUAUCAUGUUUUUGUUUUAUUGUGUUAGUUAGCUAGUAUUUAUUAGUUAUUCUUUACCUAAUCAAAAUAACCUGAAUGCAGUUUGAUUGAGAUUA